GGACCAAGUCAUCAUGUUGGCUUUAGAGGCUGUGCUCUGUCUCCUGCUGAAAUAGUGGAGACACCACUAGGAAAUCUUCAAGUUGAUUUAAAAUUAAUACAAGAAUUGAGAAAUACUAAAAUAUUUAAAGAAAUAAAUAUACAACAGGAUAUGGACGAACAUUCUCUCGAAAUGCAGUAUCCAUUUAUUUACAAAAUAUUCGGAGGAUCAAUUAAAAUUGUCCCAAUCAUGGUGGGGUCCUGUGAUUCUGAAAUGUCGAGAAGAACUGCAAAAAUCCUCUCAAAAUAUUUGAUGGACAAAACCAAUUUUUUUGUCAUUUCCACCGAUUUUUGUC